AGCUUUGGGCAGUGGCAGUAUCGUAGCCAAUGAGGUUUAUCCGAGGCGCGAUUAUUGCUAAUUGAAAAAACUUUUUGCCUAGCUCUAGAUUCCAAAGAUUUUCUUCUCUAUAGUUUUCUAAAAGUGUUUUACA
rnacentral:snRNA from 1 species